GCUGCUGUGCUUAGCUAGUGAAAGCACCUGUCUUGUAAACAGGAGACCUUGGGCUCCAAUUCCAGUGGUGCCU
rnacentral:tRNA from 1 species